rnacentral:piRNA from 1 species
UUGGCCUGGUGUGAGGUCCUAAUCCUGUGC